ensembl:lncRNA
CAUGGCAACCCCAAAUGCCGCCGCCUGUGGGUUAGUCAUGUUGGUGGUGGGUUGGUUGCUUCUGGUUACAGUUGCGUUGGUUAACAACACCGCCUUGGUUACCCGUAGUUACCCAUUGAUGAUUUCUAAUUUGGACUGUGCCGUAUAUAUAUUGUCCUGGUCAUAGCAGGGUUGUCAGUGAGAUCCCUAGUCAGCUGUCAUGGUUGUCAUGAAGAUAGAGUAUGGAACCUCAGUUAUGAGGUUAGACUUUCACACGGAGGACAGGAGGAUACCUAGUCAGUUGUCAUGGAGAUACCUAGUCAGUUGUCAUGGAGAUACGGUGUGGAACCUCAGCUAUGAGGUUAGACUUUCACACGGAGGACAGGAGGAUACCUAGUCAGUUGUCAUGGAGAUACCUAGUCAGUUGUCAUGGAGAUACGGUGUGGAACCUCAGCUAUGAGGUUAGACUUUCACACGGAGGACAGGAGGAUAACUAAUCAGUUGUACAACUGAAUGCAUUCAACUGAAAUAUGUCUUCCACAUUUAACCCAAACCCCUUCUGAAUCAGCUUUAGCGUCUCGGGGGGAACUUUGGUCUGCUUUCCCUGAAGCUGGAGAGCCCGAGUGGGGUUUUACAGAGCUAGCCAGACAGAGCUAGCCAGACAUGGCUGCCAGACAGAGUUAGCCAGACAGAGCUAGCCAGACAUGGCUGCCAGACAUGGCUAGCCAGACAGACUACUAAAUAGGGUUGCAACAUUUCCGGGAAACUUUUCCAUAAUUCCCUGGUUUUCCAGGAAUCUUGGUUGGAGGAUUCCCGGAUGUCCAGCUAAUUCCCCCGUAAAUUCAAGGGAUCUUCUAACCAGGAUUUCUGGAAAACCAGGGAAUUUUGGGGAAGUUACCGUAAUUUUGCAACCUUAAGAAAAACAUAUGGAGAAUGUUUAGGAAUGGGCAGUUAUAGAGGACAGGAGGUUUAGUAAUGGGUAGUUAUAGAGGACAGGAGGUUUAGUAAUGGGUAGUUAUAGAGGACAGGAGGUUUAGUAAUGGGCAGUUAUAGAGGACAGGAGGUUUAGUAAUGGGCAGUCGUACAUAUAUCCUUGUGUUUCUGCCUAAACGUGCUGAUUAGGAAUAGAGGACAGGAGAUUUAGUAAUGGGUAGUUAUAGAGGACAGGAGGUUUAGUAAUGGGCAGUUAUGGAGGACAGGAGGUUAUAGAGGACAGGAGGUUUAGUAAUGGGUAGUUAUAGAGGACAGGAGGGUU